AAGUUCUCAAAACCACAUGUUUGUUCAUGUGGAAUUUUGGAUAUGGGGGUUGCAGGCUUUUCAAGUCAGCUCCUCUGAAAUGUAUUAGUGGUAUCUGUGUGGAACUACAGGUGUGAUAAAUAAAAUCUAUGCCUUGUCUCUCACUGUGCUGCUUCUAAUGGAUUGGAUUGACAA
rnacentral:misc_RNA from 1 species